CCUUGUACUCACCGCCCGUCAACUCAGGGGAGUUGGGAGCGCCCGAAGUCAAUCCAUGUGAUUGCCUAAGGCGAACUCAAUGACAAAGAGU
rnacentral:rRNA from 1 species